AUAGGGGAGCCGGAGGGAAACCGAGUCUUAAUUGGGCGUUAAGUUGCAGGGUAUAGACCCGAAACCCGGUGAUCUAGCCAUGGGCAGGUUGAAGGUUGGGUAACACUAACUGGAGGACCGAACCGACUAAUGUUGAAAAAUUAGCGGAUGACCUGUGGCUGGGGGUGAAAGGCCAAUCAAACCGGGAGAUAGCUGGUUCUCCCCGAAAGCUAUUUAGGUAGCGCCUCGUGAAUUCAUCUCCGGGGGUAGAGCACUGUUUCGGCUAGGGGGCCAUCCCGGCUUACCAACCCGAUGCAAACUGCGAAUACCGGAGAAUGUUAUCACGGGAGACACACGGCGGGUGCUAACGUCCGUCGUGAAGAGGGAAACAACCCAGACCGCCAGCUAAGGUCCCAAAGUCAUGGUUAAGUGGGAAACGAUGUGGGAAGGCCCAGACAGCCAGGAUGUUGGCUUAGAAGCAGCCAUCAUUUAAAGAAAGCGUAAUAGCUCACUGGUCGAGUCGGCCUGCGCGGAAGAUGUAACGGGGCUAAACCAUGCACCGAAGCUGCGGCAGCGACGCUGAUGCGUUGUUGGGUAGGGGAGCGUUCUGUAAGCCUGCGAAGGUGGCCUGUGAGGGUUGCUGGAGGUAUCAGAAGUGCGAAUGCUGACAUAAGUAACGAUAAAGCGGGUGAAAAGCCCGCUCGCCGGAAGACCAAGGGUUCCUGUCCAACGUUAAUCGGGGCAGGGUGAGUCGACCCCUAAGGCGAGGCCGAAAGGCGUAGUCGAUGGGAAACGGGUUAAUAUUCCCGUACUUGGUGUUACUGCGAAGGGGGGACGGAGAAGGCUAUGUUGGCCGGGCGACGGUUGUCCCGGUUUAAGCGUGUAGGUGUGUGUUCCAGGUAAAUCCGGUUCACUUUAACACUGAGGCGUGACGACGAGGCACUACGGUGCUGAAGCAACAAAUGCCCUGCUUCCAGGAAAAGCCUCUAAGCAUCAGGUAACAUCAAAUCGUACCCCAAACCGACACAGGUGGUCAGGUAGAGAAUACCAAGGCGCUUGAGAGAACUCGGGUGAAGGAACUAGGCAAAAUGGUGCCGUAACUUCGGGAGAAGGCACGCUGACACGUAGGUGAAGUGAUUUACUCAUGGAGCUGAAGUCAGUCGAAGAUACCAGCUGGCUGCAACUGUUUAUUAAAAACACAGCACUGUGCAAACACGAAAGUGGACGUAUACGGUGUGACGCCUGCCCGGUGCCGGAAGGUUAAUUGAUGGGGUCAGCGCAAGCGAAGCUCCUGAUCGAAGCCCCGGUAAACGGCGGCCGUAACUAUAACGGUCCUAAGGUAGCGAAAUUCCUUGUCGGGUAAGUUCCGACCUGCACGAAUGGCGUAAUGAUGGCCAGGCUGUCUCCACCCGAGACUCAGUGAAAUUGAACUCGCUGUGAAGAUGCAGUGUACCCGCGGCAAGACGGAAAGACCCCGUGAACCUUUACUAUAGCUUGACACUGAACAUUGAGCCUUGAUGUGUAG
rnacentral:rRNA from 1 species